rnacentral:miRNA from 1 species
UCACGCUGCUGUGAACAUGAU